GAUGGUGUAGCUCAGUGGUAGAGCGCAUGCCUAGCAUGCCCGGGGUCUUGGGUUCAAUCCCCAGCACCUCCA
rfam:Camelus ferus unplaced genomic scaffold scaffold955, whole genome shotgun sequence.